rnacentral:misc_RNA from 1 species
GAUGAAAGAACGCAGCGAAAUGCGAUAAGUAAUGUGAAUUGCAGAAUUCAGUGAAUCAUCGAAUCUUUGAACGCACAUUGCGCCCCCCAGUAUUCUGGCGGGCAUGCCUGUUCGAGCGUCAUUUCAACCAUCAAGCCCUGCUUGUGUUGGGGUCCUGCGGCUGCCCGCAGGCCCUGAAAACCAGUGGCGGGCUCGCUAGUCACACCGAGCGCAGUAGCACAUCUCGCUCAGGGCGUGCGGCGGGCUCCAGCCGUUAAAGCACCCACCUUUCGCAAGGUUGACCUCGGAUCAGGUAGGAAUACCCGCUGAACUUAAGCAUAUCAAUAAGCGGAGGA